CUCAGGUAUGGGGACAUGGUUCCAAACACCAUAGCGGGGAAGAUCUUUGGUUCCAUCUGUUCCCUCAGCGGUGUGCUUGUGAUCGCGCUGCCAGUGCCCGUCAUUGUGUCCAAC
rfam:Oryzias latipes DNA, ultracontig87, strain: Hd-rR.